rnacentral:lncRNA from 1 species
GAAAGGGGUGGUGGAAAGAAGGAUGUGUUUCUUCUUAGUAUAGGAAGUUGUUUGGUUUGUUGAUACAGAUAGCAAAUGGAGAGAGAGGUGUGAUGUUCACUUCAUUGUGCUUAUGCAAAUUUAAUUCUUCCUGUGUAGAGCUGUUGAUGUUCCAUGGAGCAGGGAAAGCCUCUGACAGGACUGCAUUUUUACAGGGCAGAUUUGCUUGAGCAAAGUGGAAAUACUGAAUCCAUUUCUGAUAGCAGUCAUCCUGCAGUAGGGCAGGAGAGUUGAUCUUUUAGCACUGGUGCUGUAAUAAGAGGUUGUGGAUUCAUUUCUGAGCAAGCCUCGAUAUGACCAAGCAUAAAUGAGCUGCAUGUGUGUAUCAGAUUAGCAGGAAGAUUACAAACAAUUCCAGAAGGGAAGAGGAAUUGUUUUUCUUCUUGUGUUUUUAAGUCCUUUAAAACUUGACUUGCACUAAAGAUAGAAUCAUGUGAAAGAACCCAAGUGGUUGAUAGGACAAUUACUUGAUGAGUUUGAGCAAGCCUGGCAGUCUCCUAGGACUGUAAGAGGAGAAGUGCAGUGCAGAACUCCAACUGGGGAGAGAGUUCCUGGACCAGGGCAGUGUGUUCAGGGAGGAAGUUGUGGCAUGCGUCUGUCUGCAGUGAAUGUGGCCUAGUGACAAGCUCUGGGUUCUGACUCACUGUAAGUGACAUCUCUUACCAAUCUUGGCCUGUACUCACCACGGUUAGAUGGCCGUUCUUGGCUUUGGCUAUAAGCAGUUCUGAUCCUGAUAUAAAAUCGAUGAUGCCUUCUUUGCCUUGACCAACUGUAAAUUUUAUGCUGCAGAGACAAACAGGUAAGAAACAUGAUGAGAAUGUGUGACCCCCAUCCGUGCAAGUGGCUUCACUGUAUAUACAUAUACCUGUGGCUCUGUAAUGCUGAAGCAGAGCCAACACAACAAUGAAACAGCUCCUGAGCAGGGCUGGGCCUUCAUGGCUUCACUCACCUGCCCUGGUUGAUGUUGAUGUUGUUAACUUUGUCUGCCCGCAUGGCUGUCUUUGUGAGCGUCUCUAUCACGUGGUCGCUCUGAAGUACAACAUCUCCCUAGGAUGGAAAACCAACGAUGGUCUGUGACUCUGGCUUCCCAGUGACUGCACCAAGAUAAUUGUUCUGAAGUUCACAGAGCUUUCUCCAACAGGUUAGCAUGGAAAACAGCCCUCAGAUCACACUGCACUGACAGCAGUUACUUCGUUUACAAGGUAACAGUAAUGGGGGCAAGGGGACAGGAUCACUCCUGUCACUCAUUGGUGAAUCCCAUUUAUGAGCACAAAAUGUAAAUGAAAUUCUACUUAAAGAUGGCACAAAGUGAUUUCAUAGUGGGGCUAUUCACCUGUACACACCCCCACGUGUGCUUCUCCCCCACCCACCUCCACCCUGGAUCUUCUGCUGUUUGUGCCUCUAAAACAGUUCCUAGAGAUGGUUGGAGAAAUGCUGGAUGAGUCCAACUACCUUCUGUUUGUUGUCCUCACAGUGCACGUGCAGCACAAACAAGUUAUCGCUCAGGCUGCUGACGGAGAUGCCUGCAAUAGAGAGUGACCAUUUGACACCCAACCUGACACUGCCAGCCCUUGUGUGCAUUGCAAAACCUCUGCCAGGAGUGCAGCAACUGCUGUUCCCACACUGAGAGAUGCGGCAGCUGAGCAGCUCCAUGGAAGCACUGUGCUAACGUGGCAGCAGAGAGGCUGAAGAGGCUGCAAGGUGACAGAAUCAGCGUAUAGCUGUGUUCUUUUGUAUGAAAAAGAAACUUUCACGUGCCUCUGUCCCUCAGAAUUAGGAAGGAGGUGUGUUGUCAGUGCCUGCUGUCUGGAUUUGGUUUAAAACCUUGACAGCAGAGAUGUCUGGAUUAGCUGUGCAAGUUGAGGUAACCUAGCAGAAAUGAACAUGCAGAUGUGCAGCAGUACUGUCUUAAGGAAGUCCUGGAACCCCACGUUAGUGGUGGCUGUAGAAACGAUUUAAAAUGGUGACAGUUACAAGUGCAGUAGAUAAUUGCAUUGAAAUGAUAAUUGCACUGAAACGUUGGUCAGGAAUUGGCUGCAAGGAGAAGUGCUGGCAAUGCUGGCAGCUGGAGCUGAGAGGUUUCAGAUAGGACAGAUGAGUAAUGGCUGCUGUGUAUCACACACACAGAGCAGCUUUCUUUCUCUCUGAUAAAGUUCACCCUCUAAAGGGAUCAAAUCCAUGUCAGAUAUGGAGAGGCUGAAAGCCAGCAUCCCUGCAGCUGCUGUGCAAUAAUGGUGCAACUUCCUGCAGUUGGGAAAUGGCUUUGGAGAGGUUUCUGGAGAGAUGAAUUGAGUAACUUCAGUGACAUUUUAUGGAAUUUAAUUUUAGAAAUGCCCAAGUUCAAGAUAUCUUGAACUGACAAAUGCUUUCUGUAAUAAUUUCAUUCUUGUCCAGGACAAAGACCAACUGGUUACGGUUUUUAUCACACUGGUCAAAUAGAAGUGAGCUAAACCCCAUGUAUGUAUGUUAUCACUCACCUGUCAGAUUGGCAUAGUCAAUCCGCUGUUUGAUUUUGGAGUCUUCAACAAUGAUGACUGCAUUCUGGGUGAGAAGCAGCUGCCGUGAUCUCGCUUUGUAUCCUUUGCGGUCAUACUUGAUCACAGGAACUGCAUACUGAAAGAAGUGUUAUCAGUGCUAAGAUGCAAUUUGUUUAAUUGGCAGCUGCCUCCCAUCCAGCCUGGAGAGCUUGAAAAGUUCAGAUUUCGCUUCACUUUGUGUAGAUUCCUUCAUCGUUCUCUUCCUCUCCCCCUUAAGCAUCUCAAAGCAUCAUGAACAGCAGUGCUGCCUGCAACCCUUUCAGUCCUAUGUGACAUAACUUGCCAAAACAUUCCUAUUGCAUUUCUGAUCCAUCAGCUCUUCACACAGACAAUCUUCAAAGCUUAACGUUAAUGUAAACUUCCUGCUAUAUUCAGAAAUUGAACCUGACAAAAACUUGAAUGCUGCUGAAUAAUUCUAAAAACUUGAUAAAACUAUUAGGAUGUGCAUCUCACCUUAAUUGCUUCAUUUUCCAAAGCCUGAAGGACUUUAGCAUUUAUCUCUUCAUUACCUAAAAAGGAAAAAAAAAAAAAAAAGAGGGGGAUCAGAAGGAAGUUUCUAGCAACAGAAGAGUAAAUAAUCCCCCUUUCUUCUUCCCAGCUUUGCACCCCCUACUCACCAAGCCGUGUGUUGAUGAAGAGUCGAGGAACGCUCUGAGGGUAAUUAUCUUUUUUACCCUUAAAAAUCUCACUGGCAAUUACUUUCUGUUCCAACUGUUGCUUCCACUCUGGGCUGAUUCUCUUGCAGUAGGUCCAGACCAUGUUCUGCAUGCAUAACUGGCGCAGGAGCUGGGAUGCCUGAAGGAGAUUCCACAAAAUACAUGAGAAUACUGACAAACCAAUUCAAACAGUGAAGAGAAGGGAAACAACUGCAGAGAAGCCAUGGCUGAAUUAAUGUACUUUUAGAAUUAAGUAAUAGGAAGUCUGUUUUCCCUCUGAGCCAGUUUGUCCUGCAACACACUCCAGCUGAGGUGCAUACUUUACAUGGUUGUGCCCUUCCUUGCUUCCUACUGUACAUACAGUCCAAACAAACAGGGGUCCUUGGAUAAACUAACCAGGACUUUCUGCAGUAUUGUGUUUCUCUGCCAAACGCAGUUCAGCACCGUAUCUCCAAUAACUCUAUAGGUAUGCUAGUGACACAUACAUAAUGGUGUUUUAGUUCUGCUAGCAAAGAUGUUAAUCAAAUGUGAAAACUGAGUGAGAAGGCCUCCCUUAGGCCUUUGGUGGCCCAUAGCCUUCAUUAUGCCGUGUGGUGUGCAGCUGGACUUACCUCACAGAGUGAUGGAGGAGGGGUUGGCCAUGAUUUGUCCAAGACAUUCUUUGGUAGGUUGCGUUUGAGGUUCAUCAGGAAGGAGAAGCGGAUGUAAUCAAGGAAGUACUCAUUCUCUGGGCAGCGAGGGUGGUUCCGGUAAAUAAAGCCCUUAAUGAACCUGAGGAAGGAUGAAAGCAGGAGUAGUUGGUAUGAGAGGUACUUAGAGGUCUCUUCCAAUCCAACCAUCUCUGGGUCCCCAGUGAGCUUUCAGCUACAGCCAAGGUAAAAUAUGAUCAAAUACUCAAAAUACUUGUCACAAAAUAACUGACUGUGGGGGUCCUAACAGAACUCCAUAUUUCCCGAGCUUUAUGUAGUAGCUGCAACUUACUAAUAAACAUCUCUGACACUGCAGUGGCAAGAAACUUCAUUCUUACCAUCCUCUCAUUAGGAAACAAGCACCCAAUCAGGGGCUUAGGUUUCUCUUCACGCACCUUCUGAUAGUCUGUACUGCCCACUUCCUCUUGGCAGCUUUUCGGCGGCCCAGGGUUCCCCGCCACCAGGACUGGAUGGCUAUUGCUACAAAGAACACAAAAAACAUGACACUAAGUGAGCUCCUUCACUGCAAUAUUGAUUCAUACAGAACUGCCAACAGAGCACUCAAGAAUGCACUCUCUCAAAACAAACCACCACCAGACUUCUCAGUGGCACGUGGGAAAGAACACCGUUCAAAUUUUAAACAAUAUGAGAGGGUGGAUAAAUGGCAAUAACAAGCACUGGCAGAUGGGAACUGCUGUACAGUGGCUGUUGUGUGAACAAGUUAAUCCUAUUCUCUUACUCAGAGUCUCAAGGAGUAAUGUGGAAGGACUCAGAACUGCACACCUUGCAUCUUCUAUUCUGCUUCCAGCAAGGCUUCAGGGACCAACUCACCUCUGACUUCUCAGUCACAGCAAUGGCCACUUCAAACCACGCAGUGACACAGCACUGCAGUUUCCUUUCUCCCUCAUACCUGAGUGUUUCAUGUGCAGGAAUUUCUUCCGACGGUAGAAACCUCUCCACGUGGCCUGCAUUUUUGUUGCUGAAAUCGCAAGAGAAACAGCAAUUUGAAAACAAUUUUAACAAGAAAAUCACCAAACAAACAGUCCAUGAAGCUGCUGCAGUGUGUGACUCACCCAGGCUCUGCUUCCUCACUUCCAGAGCAUCUUCCGUUGCAAACAAAGUCUUGGGAAAGCGGAUAAAAAUCUUUGUUCUAGAAAUAGAAAUGCAGCAUGUUUAACAAGCCAGAGAAGUUUGCUUCCUGCCCUUAGCACCCCCUUUGGGAUCUCUAAUCUUUCCCCCACUCACUAAGCAGAAGUGCCUUAUUUAAGAGCAGUGACAUUGAUGUCCAGUGAUUCAUAACCUCAAACUAAAAAAAAACUAAGAAGAACUAACCGUCCCAUUUUGUAUUCUUCCUGUUUGUAGCCAAGAUGUUUCACCAGCACAGCCACACCGUCAUGGGGCCGUCCAUCCCAUGUAGGCCACGUUUCUGGACAAAGUGAUUUAUAUCUGCAAAUUGACAGCAGGAGAGGUCUUAGGGCAAGAUGUCCAACUCAUACAGAGUAAUGAACAGGGGGACAGAUCAUCCUCUUGGCUCCCGCAAAGAAAUAACUCUCUCAGGCAUAAGGGCUGCUCUUUGCCGUUCAGAACACUUUCCCAUUUCAAUAUCUGUGGGGCCAAGAUCAGGGAGAGGGAGAAAAAGGGAGAGGUAAGUGCAAGGUAAUCCUACCUCUGCAGGAAAACUUCGUAUUUCCUUCGAUACGCAAACCCAGCUCUGCGCACUCUGAGGUUCUCCAUCAGCCCCAGGUAUUUCACUUGGUGUCGGAUUAGAACUUCAUCAAAUCGAUCUUGAGAGAGCAUGAAAAUGGAGAAGCUGCAUUAAUGUAUAUCUGUCCCUUCAUGUGGAGAAGGGAAUGUUCAGUUCAGAACAGUUCUCUCUUAGACCCUUAUCUUUAACCUCUACCCCAUCCUCACAUAAGUUAUUUUGUGACUCCUGUCCCCCUCAUAGUAUACAUUUAUAUCUAGUUCCAAACAUAAGUUGUCCUUUAGGAUAUUAUAUGCAGAUAGGAGAAGGAAACGAGAGAAGAAAGAUCAUUAAAAGAAAAUGAUGUAGGUUUGUAAUGCUUGACUUUAACCCUACUCCACCACUUUACCCAAGCCCAGUGCCUCUAUUCUGACUCCUGACUGGCACUACCACUACCUUUCUGCACAGGCCCAAAAAGAGAAAUCUCAAAGACUUAUUCAAUUGAGCUCUUUUCUGUGCAGAAAGAAAAGAGCCCCAGACCGACUGGGCCCUAGUGGUCUAUGCAGCUGUUGUAGAAAAGCACUCAGAGGAAGAGUUAGGCAGGGACAUACCAGCCUGCUUAGCAUCGUUAGGUUUAAUGCAACGGAUGUAGGAGGGUUCUUUGGACAUCAGGAUUUCCAUGAGUUUAGAGAGGCUGUUUUUAAACUGAGUUGCUGCCUAGGGGAGAAGAAAGAACACCAGGUAUGAAGCAGUGAUGUACAGCUCGUACUUGUGACUUAGCAGAACAGACCUGGCGGUCUCCAGCUCUGAAGGUGUUAAGAGGUACCACGUUAGACACAACAUGUCUUUAAAAGAGAGGAAGUAGC